CAGGCUAGCCAGUGAUCCAUCCGCUAUAGUCUGCCUUAGCAAUGCUCUAGGGUCACCCCUUCAGUUUGCUUGGUUUUUCACACAGACUUCUUUCCUAACUUUUGAAACACUGUUAAAGUUUUAAGAAAUGGUGAGAUUGCAUUGAAAGACACUUUGUGAAAGUUAUAACAAGUAUUUUAUUCUGUUUACUGAUUGUAAAAGAUAAAAACCAUAGUUUUGUGGCUGCAUGAAGCUCACAAAUAGCCUAUCUGAAGAACACCCCACCCCCUCGGCUUUUCCCCCUUUAUCUGUCGGUGUGAUGAUUUCAUCUAAAAUGCUAUUUGAGUCCUCAGCCUCUAUCACUUGCUAACCAUGCAGUGUUUCAUUAUAUAAAGGUUUUUUAACAUUUAACAUGAAAAUACAGCGUUGACUGAGAUGUAACAUAAUAUGACCUUUUUAAAGGAUAUUCUGUAUGCAGUGAGGCCUAUUCGAAGCAUUAUGGUUUUUUUGCUUUUUUUUUUAAAGUUUAACAUGAAAAAGCAGUAUUUACCGAGCUGUAACAAAACAAGGCCACUCUUAGGGAUAUUUUGUAGAAGUUUAGUGAACUAAAAAGACUUAAGAUACUAGCCUAUAGUGUUUUUAGUAUAGCCUAACGCUAGCCUGUAGCUCACAAAAGCUUAUGCUCAAAUAAAUUGGUUAGUCUCUAAGGUGGCACAAGUCCUCCUUUUCUUUUUGCGAACACAGACUAACACGGCUGCUCCUCUGAAACUAGCCUAUAGUGUUUUUAAAGUACCAAACCAGCAAUUGGAUAGUACAGGCCUAUAGAAUAAGCAUUCCCCUCGGUUUCGGCAGUCCGUUGAGCAUCUGGUUUUGGGUCUGGGCAAAAACAGAUCGGGCCCAAUCCGCUCGGCCCUUUGGAGCUGUUGGGGUCCAGAACCUCCAAGUCCUCAGAAGAACCAUCGUUCAGCUGCUGAAAAAUUUACAGCUUGAUCGAAAAGGCUCCAGCCAACCGAGCCCCGGUGACCGGGUCCCUGCCAAACCAUCCCUUGAACGUUCUUACAUACAACGUACCUGUGCUUCAUCUCCGUACAGCCCUUUGUUUGAUUCAUUUGGGUUCUCCUGGCUGGGGUCUGGAGUCUCAAACAAAUCUUGGCCCAGCGAUCUGGCCUCGUGUUUCUCCAUCGCAUCGUUCUUGCGGGUACAGGUAUCAUUAGCGAUCCCUGUUUCCCCGCUCCCAUGACCCGUCUCAAACACUCUUCAGGGCCCAUAGUAGCAACCGUAUAACAACUCUUCAUGAGAGGCUUGACUGCCGGUGUUAGCCAGGGCCUUCUAGGUGCAGCCAUCUUUAAUCAUCAGACCCGUUUAAAUAGAAGCUCCUCCUUAUCUUAUCUUAUCUCUGAUCCACUGGUUCAAAAAGGCUGUUUUCGCUUACAGGGGCUUUGAUGCAAAAGCACGCUGCUUCAAAUUGUCCUCACUAAAAAUGACUAAUGUUAGUCUAAAACAUAGGGGAAAACUGUUUUAUCACUAUAAAUUACUUCCAUAAACAGGAUGAUUUGAUUGGGGAUUGGUCCUGCUUUGAGCAGGGGGUUGGACUAGAUGACCUCCUGAGGUCCCUUCCAACCCUGAUAUUCUAUGAUUCUAUGAUUCUCUGUGUUUGUAACCCUGGGAUGUUUCUGCGUUCUCACUUUUUAUUGAAAUGCAUAUGCAAAAGUGCUAAAUGAAGGAAUGUGUAUUCAGAUAGGCUUGUCUUUUAAAGUGUUUAUUCCUUUACAAAACUUAAUAUAACUUUCACUGGUAUUUGUUAAAAAGCAGGGGAAGAAACAAACUUCUUCUCUCUGAUCCACUGGUUUACAGAAUAAGGAAAAUAUAAACUGGCUGUUACUAAGGACCUGUGGUUUUAAACCUGAGGUGUUUCUGCAUGCUCUAUUUUAUUGAAACACACCUGUAAAAAAUGUUAAAUAAAGGGAUGUGUCUUCAGAUAGGUUUGUCUUUUAAAGUGUUUAUUCCUUUCCAAAACUUAAUAGAACUUUCACUUGUAUUUGUUAAAAAGUCCCAGGACCUCAGAAAGCACCUUAAUUUCCAAGCUAGACUAUUUCGCAACCGCCUGCUGAUGCAGAGCCCUCUGCACUGGAGGCGGCCAUGUGGGACUGGCAUUGCCAGGGGAGCCCCCAGGAGGAAUCCUGGAUGACUCAGCCAGAAUUUCUUCUAGUGGCUUCCAGGGUGCAUGUGGCCAAGGACUAGCUCCACCAGCCUCCGGCAGGGUCCGGUGAGCUCUCAGCUCACUUCCAGCUACCGCCCAUGGACGUGCUAGCAAGGAGCAAGGACUGCAUUCCCGGAUGAGAUUCUGGCCAGGCCCUGCUUCUGGAGCAGACCCUGGGGGAAGAACAUUGUGCCCUCCACCUGUCACACCCUUGCAGAGCUGGCCGUGGUGUGGCCCUAAGCAAAUAGUCAUGCAGCCAGCAGCAUGGUGAGAGAGAAGACAUGGUAGUGUGGAGAUGGACCUUAGCCAGACCUGCUAUCCUGAAUCCCCCAGGCUGUGGGGAACUUCGUACGCAGAUCCAAACUCUGCAGCUCUGGCUCUUCUCUGAUAGAUGGAUCGGAACCAGGGCUCUGGGGCCGCACUCCCUCUGGCUUUGAGGAAGGCAGGUCCAGAGUCUGUGGAACUCAGGCCCCAAGCCCCAGCACUCCCCCUUGUCUAACGCCCUGAAGCCUGGAGCCCUGACCCCCUCCACCCUGCAGCUGCAGCCCCAGUGCCCCUGUGGCUGAAGCCAGUACAGUAUUGGCUUUUUUUGUUGUUGUUGCCUGAUUGAGGACUUCCAUUUCCACAGGGUGUCAGGUUGACCGGUCAGUCCGUAACUGGUGUUCGUAUCUUUGAGGUUCUACUGUAUUUAAAUGAUC